rnacentral:rRNA from 1 species
UGACGUCAAGUCAGCAUGGCCUUUAUAUCCUGGGCUACACACACGCUACAAUGGGAAGGGACAAUAGGUUGCGAAGCCGCGAGGCGGAGCCAAUCCAGCAAAACUUCCCUCAGUUCAGAUUGCAGGCUGCAACUCGCCUGCAUGAAGUUGGAGUUGCUAGUAAACGCAGGUCAGCCAUACUGCGUUGAAUACGUUCCCGGGGCUU